AGUACCGUGGUGGAGAUUCUGAAGGGAAAUUUGGGACCUUUCCAGGACUUUCUAAUUUUUUGCAAACAAAAAUGACAAUAGAACACAGUAAGAUGCUGCACUUCCCGCUCUCCCAAGACACCCAGCCUCCAAACUGCACUGUGGUGCCAUCAGUUAGCAUGAAUUAGGAGAGACACGAGGUUAGACGGCCCAGCACGUUGUAGUCAACAAACACUGUGUGUAAACACUGAACGUUAUAGAACUAUCAAAGUGAUAUUUCAUAAAUAUUAUCAAAGUGUGUAAACACUGGAUAUAAUAGAAAUAUCAGAGC
rnacentral:lncRNA from 1 species